rnacentral:lncRNA from 1 species
UCAUAGAUUGGGAAAAGAAAAGUACCCCUGCUUGGCGACAAAUGUCAAGGUAAUCGUCCAGGAUCCUAUACAUGAUUUUUCUCUCCACUUCUUUGAUUGUCCUGAGUUCAUAUUCUCCAAGUUCGUCCACCAGAAAAUUCUCAUUAACUACCACAAUCGCAAGAGCUACCCGAUUCCUGGUUACAAAGUUGUUGCAACUAGCCAUUGUGAGGAAUUCAAUUCUUACAGGUAAAUGCUCAAUACCCAAGUCAGCUUACAAAGUUGAUCAUGAUUUCGUGCUUUCUGGGUCGUCUCAGACCUUGCGAUUCACUCUUAAUUUCCAAAAUAAAAAUAUAUUG